rnacentral:tRNA from 1 species
GCGCUCAUAGCUCAGCUGGAUAGAGCACUUGGCUACGAACUAAGGGGUCGGGAGUUCGAAUCUCUCUGCAUGAA